ensembl:lncRNA
AGCUGUACAGGAGAGUUCUGAGGGAGGCUGUAAUCAGCUGUACAGGAGAGUUCUGAGGGAGGCUGUAAUCAGCUGUACAGGAGAGUUCUGAGGGAGGCUGUACAGGAGAGUUCUGAGGGAGGCUGUAAUCAGCUGUACAGGAGAGUUCUGAGGGAGGUUGUAAUCAGCUGUACAGGAGAGCAAUGCUGUGCUGCCUGCUUCUAGUAGUGUUAUAAUCCCAAUAUAACAGUGUACAGUCUGACUCAGCAGAAAAACCUAGUUCUCAGUCCCGUCCAGAUCUGCCUAAUGUUUCUGUUAAUUGUUAGGUGUCAAACACUGGCUAACAAAAGCACAGUUUGUAAUCACUAAGUGGACUCCAAAAACUAAUUGUGCCUGCUUAGAUCUAUUCCAUGUUGUUGUACUGAACCCAUUAGAAGACUGUCUGACUGACAGCCUGAUGUAUGUCAAGUAUUCAUGAAGAUGGACGAGGCUAGAACCCAUUAGAAGACUGUCUUCGUGAAGAUGGACGAGGCCAGAACCCAUUAGAAGACUGUCUUCGUGAAGAUGGACGAGGCUAGAACCCAUUAGAAGACUGUCUUCGUGAAGAUGGACGAGGCUAGAACCCAUUAGAAGACUGUCUUCAUGGACGAGGCUAGAACCCAUUAGAAGACUGUCUUCAUGGACGAGGCCAGAACCCAUUAGAAGACUGUCUUCAUGAAGAUGGAGAGGCUAGAACCCAUUAGAAGACUGUCUUCAUGAAGAUGGACGAGGCUAGAACCCAUUAGAAGACAGUCUUUGAAGAUGGACGAGGCUAGAACCCAUUAGAAGACUGUCUUCAUGGACGAGGCUAGAACCCAUUAGAAGACUGUCUUCAUGGACGAGGCUAGAACCCAUUAGAAGACUGUCUUCAUGAAGAUGGACGAGGCCAGUAGCCCUGAAGGGACAAUAGAGAGGAACAAUCUGCUGCUGUUCACUCCAAUAGGAAAACAACAGUAGUUAAGAGGAGAAUUGUAAUCAGAUACGUUGUUCAUGUUUUUUACCUAAUAAUGAUGUCACUGGUUCAUUCUGAACUAUUAUAGGGCUGCUUUCUCAGACGACCCCUUGGUCCUGGACUAAACAUCACUUUCAAUGGAGAAUGUCCAUUCACCACUGCUCUCUAGCCCAGAACUAGGUUUAGGCCGAAUGAGGAAACCGGCCCGUUUUAUAAAGAUAUAUAUAUAUAAACCUGUUACGAAAGUUUUAAGCCUUGAUGGGACUCAGCAACUACAGUAGAGGGGUAAAAAAUGGUUCUCUACGCAAUUCAUUACAGUGCCUUUAUGUCAAUCUUUUUAAAUGUAUUGCCACAUUUUACAGAGGUCUUACAGUAAGUAAUCGUGUCUAGCUACACUAUAUAUACAAAAGUAUGUGGACACCCCUUCAAAUGAGUGGAUUCGUCUAUUUCAGACAUCUGUUGCCGACAGGUGUAUAAAAUUGAGCAUGCCUCCAUGCAAUCUCCAUAGACAAACACUGGUAGUAGAAUUGCCUUAGUGAAGAGCUCAUUGACGUUCAACGUGGCACCAUCGUAGGAUGCCACCUUUCCAACAAGUCAGUUUGUCAAAUUUCUGCCCUGCUAGAGCUGCCCCCCGGUCAACUGUAAGUUCUGUUAUUACAGAGCGGCUCAGCCGCUAAGUGGUAGGCCACAUAAGCUCACAGAACGGGACCACCCGAGUGCUGAAGCGCUUGGCACGUAACAAUCGUCUGACCUCGGUUGCAACACUCACUACCGAGUUUCAAACUGCCUCUGGAAGCAACGUCAGCACAAGAACUGUUCGUUGGGAGCUUCAUGAAAUGGGUUUCCAUGGCCGAGCAGCCGCACACAAGCCUAAGAUCACCAUGCGCAAAGCCAAGCGUCGGCUGGAGUGGUGUAAAGCUCACCACCAUUGGAUUCUGGAGUAGUGGAAACGCUUCACCAUCUGGCAGUCUGACGGAUGAAUCUGGGUUUGGCGAAUGCCAGGAGAACGCUACCUGCCUGAAUGCAUAGUGCCAACUGUAAAGUUUGGUGGAGGAAGAAUAAUGGUCUGGGGCUGUUUUCCAUGGUUCGGGUCCCUUAGUUCCAGUGAAGGGAAAUCUUAAUGCUACAGCAGACAAUGACAUUCAAGAUGAUUCUCUGCUUCCAACUUUGAGACAAAUGUUUUGGGGAAGGCCCUUUCCUGUUUCAGCAUGACAAUGCCCCCGUUCACAAAGCGAGGUCCAUACGGAAAUGGUUUGUCGAGAUCAGUGUAGAAGAACUUGACUGGCCUGCACAGAGCCCUGACCUCAACCCCAUCGAACACCUUUGGGAUGAAUUGGAACGCAGACUGCGAGCCAGGAGGCCUAAUCGCCCAACAUCAAUGCACUGACCUCACUAAUGCUCUUGUGACUGAAUGGAAGAAAGUCCCCUCAGCAAUGUUCCAACAUCUAGUGGAAAGCCUUCCCAGAAGAGAGGAGUCUGUUAUAGCAGCAAUGUUCCAACCUCUAGUGGAAAGCCUUCCCAGAAGAGUGGAGGCUGUUAUAGCAGCAAUGUUCCAACAUCUAGUGGAAAGCCUUCCUAGAAGAGAGGAGGCUGUUAUAGCAGCAAUGUUCCAACCUCUAGUGGAAAGCCUUCCUAGAAGAGAGGAGGCUGUUAUAGCAGCAAUGUUCCAACAUCUAGUGGAAAGCCUUCCUAGAAGAGUGGAGGCUGUUAUAGCAGCAAUGUUCCUACAUCUAGUGAAAGCCUUCCCAGAAGAGAGGAGGCUGUUAUAGCAGCAAAGGGGAGGACCAACUCCAUAUGUAAUACCCAUGUUUUUUGCAAUGAGAUGUUGGACGGGCAGGUGUCCACAUACUUUUGGUCAUGUAGUGUACAAACUACAAACACACGUUAUAGAAAUUCCACUCACAACACUAACACGUGUCCAAACCUGAUACUUUUUUUAAAAAUAAAUUUUUAUAAUUGUAGCCUCUCUUUAGUGUGGUAUCAAGUUCUUUCCCCAGAGUGUUUUAUUUUAUAUAAUGUUUUAUAAAUUACAUCUCUGAUUUUGACCUGAUGAUAUUGAAUACUGUUUUACUGGUUUGUUAGUUAUUUCGUUGCGGAUGGGCUUUGGUGGGUUGUUCUUGGAUUAUCUGUGGGUUCGAUAACUGAUCUACAAGUUGAUAACGAGUGUUUGACUUUUAGGGGAAAAGUAUUUAUAAAAUGUAUCCUGGAGCAGAAAACACAAUGCAGGACAGUGGGGGGAAAACAGACGUAUUUAAUUAAAUUGAAAGUUUCUAAUUACGAUUUGAAAAUGGAUAUCGAGAUAUACUGAAUAACUAAUUUUGAAAGAAAAAAUAGUUGUAUUGAUUUGUUGCCUAUAUAAAGUAUUAAUGAAUUAUAAAUGAUAUUGAUAUUUCAAUGUUUCACAUUUUGGAAUUGAUCUUUAGCCAAACCUAGUGUGAUUUGUAUUGGAAGGAAUUGAUCUUUAGCCAAACCUAGUGUGAUUUGUAUUGGAAGGAAUUGAUCUUUAGCCAAACCUAGUGUGAUUUGUAUUGGAAGGAAUUGA